AAGACCAUUCUCUUAAGGCUGCUAACCUUAAAAUAAUGAAAUCAUUUGGUCUUU
rnacentral:tRNA from 1 species